GUCAUCCUAUCAAAAAGCCUGCUUGAGCCCUCACAAGAAGUCUGCAAGCAAGGUUAUGCAAAUUGUUCUGCGCAUGUGUUCUUGGUGCACAUCCUUUCUCAGCCAGUGUUAACCGUGCCCUACCUUCCUGUCUCAGUCAAGCUCACCAAGGCCCAGGAAGGAUGGCUGGGCCUUCCUCAUGAUUUGGGAGGUUUGAGGGAUUGACCCCAAGACCCCGUGCACACUAGGCAAGUGUUCUACCACGACCCACACCGGCCACCCUGCAAGUUACCCGUUUUUCACACAGCUGACCGGAAGUGGUGCCAGGCACGUUUGACCUUGAGCUCCUGACAGUCUCCCUUCAGGAUAUCCGGCUAAUGGGGAGCUUCGGGGGAACACUUCCAGACAGAAAGACUGCUCGUGACUUCCGCUGCUUUCU